rnacentral:misc_RNA from 1 species
CAAACGCGAAAUGUGUUAUGACAUGCAAUCUUUGAGAAUCAUUUAAUCUUUGAACGCACCAUGUACCAAUGGAGGAAUCCGUUGGUGAGGCUGGUUGAGCAGGGGUAGGGUUAGGUAGGGGCGGGGAGUGUGUGCAUACAUUGUAUACACAUCCCGCCUUAUAUUUGAGACAUCUGUUUCCGAACCGAGUCUUUAAAGGCAACCACAAGAGAGAGGAGUGAGGAGUGAGGGAUUGUUGAACGACUGUAGACAUUCUUUCUUUUCUCUCUCUUUCUCUCUCUCAAUUGCUUGGGAUAAUGAAAAAUGUUGCAAGCAGUAGUAAAGUGGAGAGUGCAUGAUUGUUACAUCAAAUGCACAUUCACACACACACCCUCUCAACUCGGCCUAGAUCACCCGCUGA